rnacentral:rRNA from 1 species
CUCAGGAUGAACGCUGGCGGCGUGCUUAACACAUGCAAGUCGAACGAUGAAGCCCAGCUUGCUGGGUGGAUUAGUGGCGAACGGGUGAGUAACACGUGAGUAACCUGCCCUUAACUCUGGGAUAAGCCUGGGAAACUGGGUCUAAUACCGGAUAGGAGCGCCUACCGCAUGGUGGGUGUUGGAAAGAUUUAUCGGUUUUGGAUGGACUCGCGGCCUAUCAGCUUGUUGGUGAGGUGAUGGCUCACCAAGGCGACGACGGGUAGCCGGCCUGAGAGGGUGACCGGCCACAUUGGGACUGAGACACGGCCCAGACUCCUACGGGAGGCAGCAGUGGGGAAUAUUGCACAAUGGGCGCAAGCCUGAUGCAGCGACGCCGCGUGAGGGAUGACGGCCUUCGGGUUGUAAACCUCUUUCAGUAGGGAAGAAGCGAAAGUGACGGUACCUGCAGAAGAAGCACCGGCUAACUACGUGCCAGCAGCCGCGGUAAUACGUAGGGUGCGAGCGUUAUCCGGAAUUAUUGGGCGUAAAGAGCUCGUAGGCGGUUUGUCGCGUCUGUCGUGAAAGUCCGGGGCUUAACCCCGGAUCUGCGGUGGGUACGGGCAGACUAGAGUGCAGUAGGGGAGACUGGAAUUCCUGGUGUAGCGGUGGAAUGCGCAGAUAUCAGGAGGAACACCGAUGGCGAAGGCAGGUCUCUGGGCUGUAACUGACGCUGAGGAGCGAAAGCAUGGGGAGCGAACAGGAUUAGAUACCCUGGUAGUCCAUGCCGUAAACGUUGGGCACUAGGUGUGGGGACCAUUCCACGGUUUCCGCGCCGCAGCUAACGCAUUAA